UGCAACCAGCCCUAAAUCAAAAAAGCUGACUUCUCCCAGGAGUUUAAAGCCCUGUCUCACACAUUAAAUUGUAAUUUGCAGGCAAGUCUGGGCUCAGAAAUCCUCCAAUAAAGCAGAUGAAUAAUCAACAUGAAUUGGAUAGAAAGAGUCUCUCUCUGCCUUUCACUUGCCCUUAUCACUUUGCACACAAACAGCACCCUGGAUGAUGUCUACAAGAUGAUAAGACCACAAAAGGAUUCAACUGGAUCAGAAAAUUUCAUUAUUCAGAAACAAGAUGGUCCAAAUUGGGUAGUUUGAGUAAGAAGGCAAACAGCUGACUGCAUAAAGGACCUGUGAGGUCACCAGUUCUGGAUUUUACCAGGCAACAGUAAUGGAGUGACCUAGAGGAUCUUCUCUCUAAUGUUAGCUCUCUGUGGAGACAGUCACUCAACCAAAUCCCCAACCGGAUUAAAGGUUGGUGUAGACCAUGGAUUUCUCUUGCAGUCAGACAAAGGCUAUUUUGAUUCCACCAUCUUAGAUCUCCUCCCAGAGCAGCAAUCUCUUAAAAGAGUCCUGAAGAAACUGGGAUUUAUGAUCUUGCAAGUCACAGAGAACAGCUGAGACAUUGAAAAGCACUUGACGCUGACAUCGGACACUGAAAAGCAAAACCCCUCGAUUUGGGAGUCUCUAAUUCCAUUCUUCUCUUCAAGCCAAGCAGCUACACUGAGCUUGAUCCAUGAGAAAUCUCACCACUGUGGCUGAGCACAUGCUUCAGAGAGCACCUGAGCUGACAUCACUCCCCUGCCCUUUCUCAGAUUCUAUUUUCUUACUCGUCUAGGGACUGUGGGCCUGAUUGUUCUAAUCCAAAUGGAUGUCCAACACUAAACACAUUCUCUUCCCUUCUCUCUCUUUAACCCAACCCUCAAUUUCUCUGGGUUCCAUGGCCACUAACUAACCUCACAGAACUAAAGAGAAAUGGCGCAGUCAUAAGUGAGCAGUCACCUUCUCCCUCCUCCCAGUCCUCUGGGAGUCUCUGAAGUCUCUGUCCCCACUGACACUUUCACUCUGUAUGUAAAAUUAUACUUAAGAAUCUUAUUAAUGAGAGCAUAAGUAUUUUUUCUUUUAUGCUUUGGGU
rnacentral:lncRNA from 1 species